GCUGGAAGACCUGCAGACCAAGGGGAGAUGGAGGGACUGAACUUGGAGGCCAUGGCCUUCCUGCCUACACUCUGUAACACCUCCAGUCUAAAGCAGCACUGUACCACCCCAGCCCCUGGGUCAGUGAGUACCACCAGCACUGUGUUGUGGAAUAAUCUUUUUAUACACUGUGAAUAUGUGUCACUCUGAUUGGUUUAAUAAAAAGUUGAAUGACCAAUAGCUAGGCAGGAUUUUCAGGGCAGAGAGGACGAAAGGAAGAAGAAGGGAGUCACCAGACAGAGAGAGAACAAGACAUAUAGGACAACAGGUAAAUGCCAUGAAGUCAUGUGGCAACAACACAUAGAUGAAUAAAAAUGGGUUGAUUUAAGUUAUAAGAGCUGGUGGGACAAGCCUAAGCUAUAGGCUGAGCUUUUAUAAUUAAUAAGAAGUCUCCAUGUGGUUAUUUGGAAACUGGCAGGUGGGACAGAGAAAGACUCCUACAGCACUGUUUCUGUGUUCAGAGUUCCCUGUGCUGCUUGGUACCACCGUUUUGCUAGACAGUAAGCACAUGAACACAAGGACACUGAAGUGCUGGGGAACCUGAUCAGCCUACCUGGGCUGGAUGAUUCCAGCAGAAGCAUAGUGUUCCCAUGGCAACCAGAACUCCAGCACCAUUCUCCAAAGUAAUGAAAUAUGGAGUCUCUCAUUGUAUCCACUCCUGCAUACUGAAAGUCCCAAUUCAUCCCUAUGUAUCUUGCUUUCCCCAAAGACCAUCCUGCUCUCCUAAGCUCUCAUAUACCAGGAAAUACACAAAGACACCAGAAAUCCUUUCAAAGCGUGGCCUUCAUACACACUAACUUCAUGGAGACAGCCAGACCUGAAAAUACAGCACCACAGCCCUUCAUGAGAAGGUGUGUACAGGUGCCCUCAUAGACCAAAGGCAUCAGAUGGAGUUCCCAGAAGCUGCCUGAUCUGGGUGCAGGGCUCAGAUGCUCUGCAAUAACAACAGAAUGAACCACCUCUCCAGCACUAUUGAUUAGUGAUUCAUCAAGACAAAACUCCCAGAAUUGUACGCUCUCUGGAUUGAUAUGCUCUUCUCUGAGAACUACAGCUACCCAGCCAAUGUCACUCAGCCACACCUUUUUACUGCUGAGAGAACAGGACUUCAAGGCCAACCACAGACCUUGUGGGAUGAGGCUGGGGGAAUCAAGCCAAGAGGGCUACUGGGCAAUUACAGAGCUGUGCCAAUACCAGACAGGAGUGGAAGCAGAGGAGGUCACAACUGCCACAUCCUGCCAACGAACUGUGGCUCUCAGCCUCACCAAGGCAGGUUCUAGGACCCAGGACUGGCUGGUGUAAGAGUUCACCUGAGGAGUGAGAGAGACCCUGUGUACUAACAGAUGGGAUAUCUGGCUAGGAGAAGAAAUCUUGCUCACCAAAAGCUCAAAUUCCUGUGUGCCUCCAAAUUGGUCCACUAGGUGGUGCUGUGAUGCACCAAGCCCUGAGCUGUGCCUGGCAGAUGACAAAGCUAUAAGGUCUUAUCUGACUCCCCAUGGGAGGAGACCUUGCC